UACGAGGGGCGAGCGUUGUUCGGAAUUAUUGGGCGUAAAGGUGCGUAGGCGGUUCCGCAAGUCCUGUGUGAAAUCUUCGGCUCAACUCGAAGUCUGCACGGGAAACUGCGGGCUUGAGUGUGGAGAGGUGAGUGGAAUUUCCAAGUGUAGCGGUGAAUGCUAGAUAUCUGGAGGAAUACCGGUGGCGAAGGCGGCAUCCUG
rnacentral:rRNA from 1 species